rnacentral:rRNA from 1 species
UUGGCCUCAAAUCGAGUAGGAUUACCCGCUGAACUUAAGCAUAUCAAUAAG